AUUCAAUAAAUUACUCUGAUCAGAGAAACGGAUCGGGUUAAAUUGCUCCCCUCCUCACCAGUCACCACUAACCAUGACCCAAUUCCCAUACACAUAGUUCAUUCUAGAAAAUUGCACACACAGAGAGAAGCUCGCUCAUCUUAUGUAGCCAUGGAGAAUUUACCAGUCGAAAUCACAACCAACAUCUUCCUGAGACUACCAGCAAGAAGCCUAGGCCAGCUCCAAUGCGUUUCUAAAACCCUCAAAACCCUAAUCUCCUCUCCCUACUUCACCAAAACCCACCACGCCCAAACCCCACCUGCACUCCGCCGCCUCAAGCUGCUCUUCUGCACGUCGUCUCUUCACACUCUCGACAUCUUCAACGAGCAAAUUCAGCGGAACCCACGUCCGCAUUAUCUCCGUCUGCGCUCCAGCCAUGUCAGAAAUUACUGCGGAGCGGUUGAGCUGGUGGGCUCGUGCAAUGGCCUUGUGUGCCUCUUGUAUGCGUCGAAUAGGUACUCGUUGGUGAAUCCCACUACUCGGGCGAUGAGGGUUUUGCCGGACGCCGGGAUGUUACCGGCGCGGAUUAGGCUUUCGGGGUUUGGUUAUGUGGCUCGGAGGGAUGAUUAUAGGGUGGUUUGUGUGGGUUCGGAUGAGGUGAUGAGGGUUUUUUCGGCGAAGGAUGGAUCGUGGAGGAGGGUGUGGGCAUUGGUUCCUUUGCCGGUGAAUCGGGGGAUUAAGCCGGUUUUUGUUGGGGGUGUGGUUCAUUGGUUGGGUUUUGAUUCGGGGGCUUCACCGCUUCAUAAGGUUAUGGGGUUUGAUUUUGUGGAUGAGGAAGUGAAGAUGUUGCCAUUGUGCGAGCAGAUGAGUAAAAGGGUGAUUACGGCGUUGGGAGUGUUGGGAGGGCGUCUUUGUGUUUUAUCAGUGGCGGACCAUGAUAGGGAUUUGGAUUUGUGGGUGAUGAUGGAGUACGGGGUUCGGGAGUCUUGGAUGAGACUUUGUGAAUUGCCAAUAGUUUAUCCCCACAGCCCCUUUGCGUCUGUUUCCCCAAUUUCUUACGUGGGAUAUGAGAUUUUGUUUUUGGCUGAUUCCAGGUGUCUUAUGUUGUCUGAUAUAGGGGGUGGCACACAUAAAACUCUUGAGGUUGAAUUGCAAGGAAGGGGAAGCACAGAAGAGAUGCAGGUGGCUGUGUACGAGGAGACUCUAGUUUCACCUCAUGACUUCAUUUGCCAAGAGUAAAGGAGUUUUGCACGAAAGAUGAAAGGAAUAGUUACCAACUUUGGGUUUUAUGUACGAAAAUUGGAAGGUACACCUGAUGUGUGGAUGUGUGUAUGGAGAGUCUUGUUUCACCUUAUGGCUACAUUUGCCAAGAUGAGGAAGGUCGUAGACAACAUAACAAAAGUGAAUGGAGGAGAGUGAAUGAGAGGUAUUUUCGAUUCCUGUACACUUUAGAAUUAUUGAUGAUUUAAUUAUCGAAUAAGUUGUAAAUUAACCUCAAAUCAGGGAAGAGUGCUUGUCAGAAAAAGCAGACAAUUAUCUUCAGUAAGCUAGAGAAGUUAGAACUUACAGUUGAUGCUUCUGCACUUAAGAACGGAAAGAAAUACUUUUAAGAGAAGAUGAUAAUCAUGAUAGAUCCUAAAUAGAUAAUAUUGUACCGAGGGACUGGCUUGUGGGAAAUUCAGAGACUCGGCUGGGAUGUUUCUGCAGAUUAAGGGGUCCUAGUUCUGCACAUUUUGGGAAUCCUUGCGGGCAUUGGCCAUCAUGGAAGUAUGCCCUUCUGGUUAAGCAGUGGGGAAUGGUCACCUCAGUGUUGAUUUAUAAUGAUGUCCAUAGAAUUUUUGUUGGGAUGCAGUUAGACAGGUGACUAGCCAUAUGAUUAACCACUAGAUGGUCCUCCUUUAAGCGUCGAAUGGUGUACCAAACCAACUACGCUAUUGAGGUGCUCUUGUAUUUUCUGAUAUAUGACCCGAGUAUGGCAUGGCCUGCGAAGACACUUACCUGCAGAUUUACAAAGGAGGUUUCCAUUUCUCAGUCUGUAACUAAACAUUGAUUGUCUUCAAGACAAUCCACUCUGUGUUCUUCUGGUUCUAUGUUUGGCAUCUGUGGUUGUUAAACGUUUCUGAAAGCUUUGACAGAAUUAUGUGCAUCAUUUGUUCGAACUCAAAUAUUCUAGUGGUUUAUCAUACUUUUUUUACUAA